rnacentral:lncRNA from 1 species
GUAAACUCUUGAUCUUUUUUUAUUUUUUGUUGCCGAUGCUUGUGCUGCACUUAACAUGCAUACUCCUUUAUCCAUUGCUUUAAAUUUAACAUAAAUGAUUUUAGGAAUUUUGGUCCUCAAUGCUCUUGAACUUUAUUUGGUCUUUCUAUCAUUUUUUAUUCGGUCGUCACUGAUGAGUCUUUUGUAGACGAAACGAGUGUCAGGCACAAUUAAAACAUUUUAAUCCUGGUAUCUAUGAUGAGUAUAUUUGUAUGUAGGUGUAAUGGUCUCGACUUUUUAAAUUCAUUACGCAAUCGACCGUUCUUAUAUACAGAACAUGAAGCAGUAGAUGUUAUAGCGGUAGUUAACGGAAGAUAGUAAUUUUAUUUUAGAUUGACAGAUAUUUGACGAAAAAUGGUAUUAUAACGUUUCCUUUUUAGUGACAACAUCUAGGUCCAGCUUUGUAUUUUCAAAAUGCAGCUGUGUUUAUUAAAGUAAUUGUCGGUUUUUUCUUCAAUCUAAAUGUAAAUUUUCGUUCAGUGCUUUAAAUACAAUUUGGCAAGAAUGUCUUAACAUACUUUUAUAGUGCUUAUCUGUUAU